GACGAACGCUGGCGGCGUGCUUAACACAUGCAAGUCGAGCGGUAAGGCCCCUCCGGGGGCACACGAGCGGCGAACGGGUGAGUAACACGUGAGCAACCUGCCCCUGACUCCGGGAUAAGCGGCGGAAACGCCGUCUAAUACCGGAUACGACCCUCCGGCUCAUGCCGUGGGGGUGGAAAGUUUUUUCGGUUGGGGAUGGGCUCGCGGCCUAUCAGCUUGUUGGUGGGGUAGAGGCCUACCAAGGCGAUUACGGGUAGCCGGCCUGAGAGGGCGACCGGCCACACUGGGACUGAGACACGGCCCAGACUCCUGCGGGAGGCAGCAGUGGGGAAUCUUGCGCAAUGGGCGAAAGCCUGACGCAGCGACGCCGCGUGGGGGAUGACGGCCUUCGGGUUGUAAACUCCUUUUACCACUCACGCAGGCUCCCAGUUCUCUGGGGGUUGACGGUAGGUGGGGAAUAAGGACCGGCUAACUACGUGCCAGCCGCCGCCGUAAAAC
rnacentral:rRNA from 1 species